GCAAGUCGAACGAGAAGGUCCCUUCGGGUGCUGGACAGUGGCGCACGGGUGAGUAACGCGUGGAAACCUACCAUUCUGUACGGAAUAACGGUUGGAAACGGCCGCUAAUACCGUAUACGCCCUGUGGGGGAAAGGUCCGCCGCAGAAUGAGGGGUCCGCGUCCGAUUAGCUUGUUGGUGAGGUAAUGGCUCACCAAGGCUGCGAUCGGUAGCUGGUCUGAGAGGAUGAUC
rnacentral:rRNA from 1 species